rnacentral:rRNA from 1 species
UACGGAGGAUGCGAGCGUUAUCCGGAUUUAUUGGGUUUAAAGGGUGCGUAGGCGGACGCUUAAGUCAGCGGUAAAAUUGCGGGGCUCAACCUCGUCGAGCCGUUGAAACUGGGUGCCUUGAGUGGGCGAGGAGUACGCGGAAUGCGUGGUGUAGCGGUGAAAUGCAUAGAUAUCACGCAGAACUCCGAUUGCGAAGGCAGCGUACCGGCGCCCUACUGACGCUGAAGCACGAAGGCGUGGGUAUCGAACAGG